CCUACGGGAGGCAGCAGUCGAGAAUCAUUCACAAUGGGGGAAACCCUGAUGGUGCGACGCCGCGUGGGGGAAUGAAGUUCUUCGGAUUGUAAACCCCUGUCAUGUGGGAGCAAAUUAAAAAGAUAGUACCACAAGAGGAAGAGACGGCUAACUCUGUGCCAGCAGCCGCGGUAAUACAGAGGUCUCAAGCGUUGUUCGGAAUCACUGGGCGUAAGGCGUGCGUAGGCUGUUUCGUAAGUCGUGUGUGAAAGGCGCGGGCUCACCCCGCGGACGGCACAUGUUACUGCGAGACUAGAGUAAUGGAGGGGGAACCGGAAUUCUCGGUGUAGCAGUGAAAUGCGUAGAUAUCGAGAGGAACACUCGUGGCGAAGGCGGGUUCGUGGACAUUAACUGACGCUGAGGCACGAAGGCCAGGGGAGCGAAAGGGAUUAGAUACCCUGGUAGUC
rnacentral:rRNA from 1 species